rnacentral:rRNA from 1 species
CAACUCGCCUGCAUGAAGUCGGAAUUGCUAGUAAUCGCGGAUCAGCAUGCCGCGGUGAAUACGUUCCCGGGCCUUGUACACACCGCCCGUCACACCAUGGGAGUCGGUAACACCCGAAGCCGAUAGUCUAACGAAAGAGGACGUCGUCGAAGGUGGGAUUGAUGACUGGGGUGAAGUCGUAACAAGGUAAC